rnacentral:rRNA from 1 species
AAUGAACGCUGGCGGCAUGCCUAACACAUGCAAGUCGAACGAGACCUUCGGGUCUAGUGGCGCACGGGUGCGUAACGCGUGGGAAUCUGCCCUUGGGGUCAGAAUAACUCGCCGAAAGGCGUGCUAAUACCGGAUGAUGACGUAAGUCCAAAGAUUUAUCGCCCAAGGAUGAGCCCGCGUAGGAUUAGCUAGUUGGUGGGGUAAAGGCCCACCAAGGCGACGAUCCUUAGCUGGUCUGAGAGGAUGAUCAGCCACACUGGGACUGAGACACGGCCCAGACUCCUACGGGAGGCAGCAGUGGGGAAUAUUGGACAAUGGGCGAAAGCCUGAUCCAGCAAUGCCGCGUGAGUGAUGAAGGCCUUAGGGUUGUAAAGCUCUUUUACCCGGGAUGAUAAUGACAGUACCGGGAGAAUAAGCCCCGGCUAACUCCGUGCCAGCAGCCGCCGCGG